ACGGCAUAAGGCUGCCUUUGCUGAAGGUUUUGAUUGAUAGGCUGCUGCAGGAUGGAAUAGAGGAGCUACUUAAUGUACUCAGCAGUACCAAGAAAACAAAGGAAGACACAGAAACUCACACCUCCAACGUCAUCACUGAGUACACAGUAUGUAAAUAUAAGGAAAAAGUGCAUGUUAUUUUUACCUUAGGGAGGUUGACUUGCUAUCUCCACACUCCACACAACAAAAGAGGUUGUGUUGUCUCAACAGAGUUCAGUGGCGUUUGAUCUGACCAGCCAGCCGCUGGACACCAUUGAAGAGUCGGAUUUAGACCAGUUUCCAGAGUCAGUUGAUCCUUUGAAUGAGCCUGUAGAGGGUCCUACCUUAUGGACCAUCACGACACUGAAUAGAGAGCAUGGGCUCGACAGAACUGGGACCAAGUUAAAGGGAUCCAGAAGGAAGGACAUGAGCGGCAGUGAUGAAGCAUCUCCACUCAAAAUUAAUCAGACUCUAGUCAGUUCUACAUUCAAUUAUACUAAUACCCACGAGAUGCUUUCAGAGUUACCAGAAACAAUGGCAGAGACUCUUCUCCUCACCAAGGAAGACUCUUUGAAGAAGAAUCCAGGACAAAAGAAGAAUAACAGGGAGCGUGGGAAGGGCAAAGGAAAUAAAGGACGACAUAAGAGGCAGAGACAACGCCUGACAAGUGGAGAGGAUAAGCAAGGACAAGAGGAAGAAGAGUUGUAUAAUGGCGAAGAAUACAGUUAUGAGUUUGAGUAUGAGGAAGAACUUUUCCCAGAUGAUCCCUUCACCUCUAAGGAGAUCAGAGACAGCAGACAGGUAAAUUUGCUUCAAACAGCAUUCUCUCAUCUUUCAGUUGGACUGAGUAAAGUGUUAUAAUUCAUUUUUAAUGUAAAAUGUGUCCCAUGUUUUUAUCAUAUGCAGCUUGAAGUCCAAACAGAUGAAAUUCCCUAUCGAAUGGAUAAAAAG
rnacentral:lncRNA from 1 species